rnacentral:siRNA from 1 species
GCUCCCGUAGCUCAGUUGGU